GGUCAAGCUAAUAAGGGCGCAAGGGGAAUGCCUUGGCAUUGGAAGCCGAUGAAGGACGUAGCGAUCUACGAAAAGCCCCGGGGAGGCGAAAGCAGCCAUCGAUCCGAGGAUAUCCGAAUGGGGAAACCCGGCGGAGCAAUACUCCGUCAUCCUUUUGUGAAUCCAUAGCAACUGGAAGGGAACCGCCUGAACUGAAACAUCUAAGUAGGGCGAGGAAGAGAAAUCAACCGAGAUUCCGCUAGUAGUGGCGAGCGAACGCGGAAGAGGCCAAACCAAGAGUAGUAAUACUUUUGGGGUUUUGGACAGCGUACGGUAUUAACUGCGGUUAGUAGAAUGAAAUGGGAAGUUCAACCACAGAGCGUGAUAGUCGCGUACACGAAAACUAAAGUUAGCCAGCUGGAUCCAGAGUACCGCCGGACACGUGAAACCCGGUGGGAAGACGGGGGGACCACCCUCCAAGCCUAAAUACUCUCCAAUGACCGAUAGUGUAUAGUACUGUGAAGGAAAGGUGAAAAGAACCCCUGGCGGGGAGUGAAAUAGAACCUGAAACCUUGUGCCUACAAGCACAUAGAGCGCGUCAAUGCGUGAUAUGGUACCUUUUGUAGAAUGGUCCGGCGAGUGAAUGUCACUGGCAAGGUUAAGCUCUUAAGGAGUGCAGCCGAAGCGAAAGCGAGUCUGAAAUGGGCGUUUUUAGUCAGUGGUAUUCGACCCGAAACCGGGUGACCUAGCCAUGAGCAGGCUGAAGUGGAGGUAAAACUCCAUGGAGGGCCGAACCCACUCCCGUUGAAAUGGUAGGGGAUGACUUGUGGCUAGCGGAGAAAUUCCAAUCGAACCCGGAGAUAGCUGGUUCUCUCCGAAAUAGCUUUAGGGCUAGCCUCAAUUAACAUUACCGCAGGUAAAGCACUGAAUGAGCUAGGGGGCGAAAGCUUACUGAACUCUAUCAAACUCAGAAUGGCGGAUAAUGAAUGAUUGGGAGUCACACUACGUGAGAUAAGUUUCGUGGUGGAAAGGGAAACAGCCCAGACCCACAGCUAAGGUCCCAAAGUACAGUUAAGUGGAAAAGGAUGUGAAAUUGCGCAGACAACCAGGAUGUUGGCUCAGAAGCAGCCACUCAUUCAAAGAGUGCGUAAUAGCUCACUGGUCGAGUGGUUUUGCGCAGAAAAUGUAACGGGGCUAAGUGUUCAACCGAAGCUUAGGCAUUGCAGUAAUGCAUUGGGUAGGGGAGCGUCGUAUGCGGGGC
rnacentral:rRNA from 1 species